rnacentral:lncRNA from 1 species
UCUUCUUAUUGUUCAUUCAUCAUGACAGUUUGAAACUAACAUCAUGAUGUUUGCUGCUCUUGUUGAUGGAUCGGUAAAUUAUUUAAAGCAAUGUAUCUAUGUGUUGCUCCCUUUAGAUUUUUGUGAGGGAUCAUAUGUGUUGCAGCUGCCCAUGUUACAGGGGGAGUUUUACUUGUUGUAUGGAGCUUGUUAGAGGUAGAUAUGUUGAGGGGGG